rnacentral:lncRNA from 1 species
CUGCACACCCGCGGCAGGGGGAGAGCCGGCGUGCCGUCCUCGGAUCCCCAGUCCUCAUAGCGGCGACCGCCGGCAAAAGGCUGGGAACGUGGGAAAGUGAGCGGGUGUGCGCAGCGAAACAGGUUACAGGAGGGUGUCAUGACUGUCAUCCUGCCUAGGAAUGGGAAGGCAGUUUCAGGCAAUGAAAGCAGUGUGAGAAAAGAGAUGGGACAAGACUGCAUUGCCCCUUCGGAAGAUUGCAAGGAUGAUUGAAAGUGCUGUUGAACUGGGAAGAGCCAGAAACUGAACUGCUCAUUGUAUGCAGCUGGAAGCCAUGGUGAACAUUCUGCAAAGGCCUUCUACUGGGAGAUGACUCCGGUCACUGUUCCUUCCAUAGCAGCUGGUCCCUGUAAGACACUGAACCCUCAACACCCCUUACAAAUGUGGCUGAGGACCUGAAAGAAAUGCUGGUGCACCUGAUAUACUGUUCCAGGAGUCUUGUGAGAUUAACAGCUUGUAAAUGAUGGCAUACCUGGAAUAAGUUCCCUGUUGGCACUCCUGGGCAAUAUAUAAGAAGAAAAUGUGCAUCUUAGUACAGGCACACUUAAACCACAUGAAGGAGACCUGUAUUUUUGGAAUGACAGGUCCUCCUCCAUGUCUGGAGCAUGACCUAGUUGGUGACUAUCUAUUGUUUAUAGGCAAUGAUUCCUCAGAAACAAAUCAACUAAAUGAACAAACUGGAUGAUAAAGUAGAACGGAGAACUGCAUUGUGCUCCUCAGAGUCAUAAAAAUUCAUCCCUUUUACAACUGCUGAGUGCUUUGCCAAUAUCAUGCCAAGGUGAGAGCAGCUGGGGGAAGGGAAGGAUAUUGAAAAGGAAAAUAAAUAGGCCAGGUAAACAGUGCUGCUGCUGCUGCAGCAGCCGUGGUUGCCACGGCAACCGGGGUGAAGAGGAGGCGGAGGAGGAGGAGGAGGAGGAGGGGGGAGGUGGAUUGAUCGAUAGUCCUGUGCUGGCUCAUCUGGCUUCCAUCCACGUGCUGCUACAGAGGGAGAGAAAAUCAAAGAGCCACACGCAGGAUGGCCAGGUCUCCAAUUCAAUACAUGGCAGCAGCUUGAUCAAUAACUUGUUGGAAGCUGCUUUUCCACGCGCACAAAUAUGGAGCUGCUGUGAAAGCAUCUGA